GGAGGGUGCGAGCGUUGUCCGGAAUCAUUGGGCGUAAAGGGCGCGUAGGUGGCCCGGUCAGUUCGUGGUGAAAGCGCGGGGCUCAACCCUGCGUCGGCCAUGAAUACUGCCGCGGCUGGAGCACUGUAGAGGCAGGCGGAAUUCCGGGUGUAGCGGUGGAAUGCGUAGAGAUCCGGAAGAACACCGGUGGCGAAGGCGGCCUGCUGGGCAGUUGCUGACACUGAGGCGCGACAGCGUGGGGAGCAAACAGGAUUAGAUACCCUGGUAGUCCACGCCGUAAACGAUGGGCACUAGGCGCUUGGGGGAGCGACCCCCCGAGGGCCGGCGCUAACGCAUUAAGUGCCCCGCCUGGGGAGUACGGCCGCAAGGCUG
rnacentral:rRNA from 1 species